CCGUCAAUUCAUUUGAGUUUCAUUCUUGCGAACGUACUCCCAGGUGGGAUACUUAUCACUUUCGCUUAGCCACUGAACUUGCGCCCAACAGAUAGUAUCCAUCGUUUACGGCGUGGACUACCAGGGUAUCUAAUCCUGUUUGCUCCCCACGCUGUCGUGCCUCAGUGUCAGCAAAUGCCCAGCAGGCCGCCUUCGCCACUGGUGUUCUUUCGGAUAUCUACGCAUUCCACCGCUACACCCGAAAUUCCACCUGCCUCUACAUUGCUCAAGCUAGGCAGUUCGCACGGCAGAUCCGGGGUUGAGCCCCGGACUUUCACCACACGCUUACCUUGCCACCUACGCACCCUUUACGCCCAGUGAUUCCGGACAACGCUCGCACCCUCUGUAUUACCGCGGCUGC
rnacentral:misc_RNA from 1 species